rnacentral:rRNA from 1 species
UACAGAGGUCCCAAGCGUUGUUCGGAUUCACUGGGCGUAAAGGGUGCGUAGGUGGUCAGGUAAGUCUGAUGUGAAAUCUCUGAGCUCAACUCAGAAAUGGCAUUGGAUACUAUCUGGCUAGAGGGUCGGAGGGGGGACUGGAAUUCUCGGUGUAGCAGUGAAAUGCGUAGAUAUCGAGAGGAACACCAGUGGCGAAGGCGAGUCCCUGGACGACUCCUGACACUGAGGCACGAAAGCUAGGGGAGCAAACAGG